rnacentral:rRNA from 1 species
AUUGAACGCUGGCGGCAGGCCUAACACAUGCAAGUCGAGCGGAGCGGCGGACGGGUGCGUAAUGCCUAGGACUCUGCCUCGUAGUGGGGGAUAACGUUCGGUAACGGGCGCUAAUACUGCAUACUAUCAGAUUAGCCUAUGUCGGAUUAGCUAGUGGUUGGGGUAAAGGCCUACCAAGGCGACGAUCCGUAACUGGUCUGAGAGGAUGAUCAGUCACACUGGAACUGAGACACGGUCCAGACUCCUACGGGAGGCAGCAGUGGGGAAUAUUGGACAAUGGGCGAAAGCCUGAUCCAGCCAUGCCGCGUGUGUGAAGAAGGUCUUCGGAUUGUAAAGGACUUUAAGUUGGGAGGCGUUACCGACAGAAGAAGCACCGGCUAACUCCGUGCCAGCAGCCGCGGUAAUAC